rnacentral:rRNA from 1 species
AAUAUUUGACAAUGGGCGAAAGGCUGAUCCAGCCAUCCCGCGUGUGUGAAGAAGGUCUUCGGAUUGUUCGGCAUUGUAAGUAGGGAGGAAGGGCAGUAAGUUAAUAUCUUCCUGUUUUGACUUUACCGACAGUAUAAGCACCGGCUAACUACGUGCCGGUAGCCGCGGUAAUACGAAGGGUGCAAGCGUUAAUCGGAAUUACUGGGCGUAAAGCGCGCGUAGGUGGUUCGUUAAGUUGGAUGUGAAAGCCCCGGGCUCAACCUGGGAACUGCAUCCAAAACUGGCGAGCUAGAGUACGGUAGAGGGUGGUGGAAUUUCCUGUGUAGCGGUGAAAUGCGUAGAUAUAGGAAGGAACACCAGUGGCGAAGGCGACCACCUGGACUGAUACUGACACUGAGGUGCGAAAGCGUGGGGAGCAAACAGG